GAUGAACGCUGGCGGCGUGCCUAAUACAUGCCAGUCGAGCGAACGGACGAGAAGCUUGCUUCUCUGAUGUUAGCGGCGGACGGGUUAGUAACACGUGGAUAACCUACCUAUAAGACUGGGAUAACUUCGGGAAACCGUAGCUAAUACCGGAUAAUAUUUUGAACCGCAUGGCUCAAAAGUGAAAGACGGUCUUGCUGUCACUUAUAGAUGGAUCCGCGCUGCAUUAGCUAGUUGGUAAGGUAACGGCUUACCAAGGCAACGAUGCAUAGCCGACCUGAGAGGAUGAUCGGCCACACUGGAACUGAGACACGGUCCAGACUCCUACGGGAGGCAGCAGUAGGGAAUCUUCCGCAAUGGGCGAAAGCCUGACGGAGCAACGCCGCGUGAGUGAUGAAGGUCUUCGGAUCGUAAAACUCUGUUAUUAGGGAAGAACAUAUGUGUAAGUAACUGUGCACAUCUUGACGGUACCUAAUCAGAAAGCCACGGCUAACUACGUG
rnacentral:rRNA from 1 species